AUUGAACGCUGGCGGCAGGCCUAACACAUGCAAGUCGAACGGUAGCACAGAGGAGCUUGCUCCUUGGGUGACGAGUGGCGGACGGGGGAGUAAUGUCUGGGAAACUGCCCGAUGGAGGGGGAUAACUACUGGAAACGGUAGCUAAUACCGCAUAACGUCUUCGGACCAAAGUGGGGGACCUUCGGGCCUCACACCAUCGGAUGUGCCCAGAUGGGAUUAGCUAGUAGGUGGGGUAAUGGCUCACCUAGGCGACGAUCCCUAGCUGGUCUGAGAGGAUGACCAGCCACACUGGAACUGAGACACGGUCCAGACUCCUACGGGAGGCAGCAGUGGGGAAUAUUGCACAAUGGGCGCAAGCCUGAUGCAGCCAUGCCGCGUGUAUGAAGAAGGCCCUCGGGUUGUAAAGUACUUUCAGCGGGGAGGAAGGCGUUAAGGUUAAUAACCUUGGCGAUUGACGUUACCCGCAGAAGAAGCACCGGCUAACUCCGUGCCAGCAGCCGCGGUAA
rnacentral:rRNA from 1 species